rnacentral:rRNA from 1 species
UACAGAGGGGGCCAGCGUUAUUCGGAAUUAUUGGGCGUAAAGAGCUUGUAGGCGGUUUGUCGCGUCUGCUGUGAAAAUCCGGGGCUCAACCCCGGACUUGCAGUGGGUACGGGCGGACUAGAGUGUGGUAGGGGAGACUGGAAUUCCUGGUGUAGCGGUGGAAUGCGCAGAUAUCAGGAGGAACACCGAUGGCGAAGGCAGGUCUCUGGGCCACUACUGACGCUGAGAAGCGAAAGCAUGGGGAGCGAACAGG